rnacentral:rRNA from 1 species
UACGUAGGGUGCAAGCGUUAAUCGGAAUUACUGGGCGUAAAGCGUGCGCAGGCGGUUCGGGAAGAAAGAUGUGAAAUCCCAGAGCUUAACUUUGGAACCGCAUUUUUAACUGCCGAGCUAGAGUAUGUCAGAGGGGGGUAGAAUUCCACGUGUAGCAGUGAAAUGCGUAGAGAUGUGGAGGAAUACCGAUGGCGAAGGCAGCCCCCUGGGAUAAUACUGACGCUCAUGCACGAAAGCGUGGGGAGCAAACAGG